CCUUACCUGCAUGACUGACGCGUUCGAGGAGCACCUCGAGGGAGUGCAGGGAAUUCACGCCGUGCGUCUGGGCGCCUUAA
rnacentral:ncRNA from 2 species